rnacentral:rRNA from 1 species
UACGUAGGGGGCAAGCGUUGUCCGGAUUUAUUGGGCGUAAAGAGCGUGUAGGCGGCCAAGCAGGUCCGCUGUGAAAACUCGAGGCUCAACCUCGAGACGUCGGUGGAAACCGUUGGUCUAGAGUCCGGAAGAGGAGAGUGGAAUUCCCGGUGUAGCGGUGAAAUGCGCAGAUAUCGGGGAAGAACACCCGUGGCGAAGGCGGCUCUCUGGGACGGUACUGACGCGUGAGACGCGAAAGCGUGGGGAGCGAACGAGG